GGCCUUGUGGUCUAGUGGUAUGAUUGUCGCUUCGGGUGUGACAGGCCCCGGGUGUAUGUGUCUUGCCACGCAUUGAUAAAAAAGUGCGUAGCUAAUUCUUCGUAUAGUCGAAUCCCGGCAAGGCCC
rnacentral:tRNA from 1 species